CAGAGAAUUUUCAAAUUGCGAUAUAUUGCGAUGCGAAAGCAUAUAUUACGAUAUUAUUUUUAAACAAAAAACUACUUAUCAUCGAGUCAAUGCUUGAUUUAUGAAGCAUGCACACAACAAAAUGACUAUGCUUGAUGAAGCUUUAGUAUAACUUUUAAUCAUGACAAAAUAAAAAUGUAAAGAAUAUUUGGCACAAAU